GAAAAAACUGCCAAGGAGGAAGCUUGAGCUGUGAGAGAGCCUUUCUUCUUUUGGGAUACUCCAAGAGACUGGAAGGAUCUAACGUCCUGAAGAUCGUUUACACCAGAUCUAAGGCUCAUUGCCAUUGGAGCACAGUGAAGUUGUGAACCUGCACAAUGUAUGUUCCACAGAAAGGCUACCUUCCCCAGCGCCAAUAUGCAGCACACAAUAGUGAUGUUGACGAUGAAGAACAAGAAGAAGAGCAGGAGGAGUGCGAUGAAGAAAAGCAAGAUGAGGACGAAGUGACUCUGUGGCCUCAGAGCUACAGGCAAUCCAUCGACGCUUAUAGCUUCUUGACACCUCCAAAGCUCAGCAUUCUUAGCCCCGCGAGCCUGACUCGAUCGUUUUUAUCCUCCUCGGCUGGCAAGCGGUCGUACUUGCAAGACGACGAAGAAAAGGAUCUCAAAAGCCAACUCUUAUCAGCGCAGGGACAAGAUCAGGCAACUUCCACCGACACUACAACCUUGGUGGAAAGGAAACCUUCCAUUGUUACGAUCGCUCACGGAUUUCCGAGAGAACCUCAAGAUGAAGGCUGUGGCUUUACGCAGGCAUUGCUGAAUGGAAUGAAUGUUCUUGCUGGUGUUGGGAUCUUGACUACACCUUAUGCAGUGAAACAAGGAGGCUGGAUUGGAUUGGUUCUACUUUUCUCACUAGCCGUCAUUUGCUGCUACACCGGUAUUAUCUUGCGAAAAUGUUUGGAAAGCAGGCCGGGGCUGAAAACAUAUCCAGACAUUGGACAGGCAGCUUUUGGAAGCAUUGGACGACUGAUCAUCUCGAUUGUUUUGUACGUGGAACUCUACGCCUGCUGUGUCGAGUUUUUGAUACUCGAAGGAGACAACCUCUCGGUAUUAUUUCCAGGAACACAACUAUCUUUGUUCGGGUAUACGCUGGAUUCACAUAAGCUUUUUGCCAUUCUUGCUGCGUUAUUCAUCCUUCCAACAGUCUGGCUACGAAAUCUCCAUCUUCUCUCUUAUGUUUCAGCCGGUGGAGUUGUCGCGUCUCUUAUUGUUGUUUUCACGGUCUUCUGGGUUGGAGCAGUGGACGGAAUAGGAUUCCACGAAACUGGGAAGUUCAUUGACAUAGCUGGAUUGCCAGUGUCGCUUGGUUUGUAUGGAUUUUGCUACUCCGGACACGCCGUUUUUCCAAACAUAUACACGUCCAUGAAGAACAAAAGUCGAUACAAUCGCGUGCUAACCAUCAGCUUCGUUUUGUGUGCUGGGCUUUUCGGUGCUGUGGCAGCCAUGGGAUACAAAAUGUUUGGCGAUAAAACUCGGUCUCAGGUCACUCUCAACAUGCCAAAGGAGUUUGUGGCUUCGAAGAUUGCACUUUGGACGAUCGUUAUCAAUCCUUUUACGAAAUACGCACUGACGAUCACUCCGGUAGCGCUUAGUCUUGAGGAGCUGUUGCCGAUCAACAGCUCUCGCUUCCAGCAGCAUCUAGCCUCCAUUGUCAUCCGUACCUUGCUAGUCGCCUCGACAGUUGUCGUUGCCAUCUCGGUACCAUUUUUCGGCUUUGUGAUGGCGUUUAUCGGAUCUUUCCUUAGCAUGGCAGUGUCCUUAAUUCUUCCUUGUGCGUGCUACAUGAGAAUCAGAGGCAGCAAACUAAGCUUGAUGGAGCUUACUCUUGGUAUUGGUAUAAUGCUGGUUGGAAUUGUUUGCGCUGUGGGAGGAACAUUAUCUUCCCUUGACGCCAUCAUCAAACAAUUGAAGAACUAAGUUACAUCCUUUUAACGUUGCUCUCGGGCUUGAUUCUCUUGAGAGAUACUAAUGCUCCACUCGCCAAUUAUUAAAGAUUGUGUAAGUUUUGUUCCAUCGCGACAGUGAGCUUGCACGAGUCAUCUCGAGCUUGCACGUUUGUUCUUGUUUUGCUUGGAAAGGUUCUCAUAACGUAUCAAGAGCUAAGAUUGUAAGUUA